AUGCGUGCGGACCACGGAUCCUGGCACUCCCUGUGUGUGGACGUGACCCGAAGCCUGGCGGGGAGAACCGCGCUACCCGCCGUCGGGUGCACAGACGCGGUUCUGAGAGAGGGCCAGAAGCCCACUGCGCCUCGGUCCUCCGGGGCUUGGGGGUGGGCGAAGGAAAGGGCCAGGGCCGCCCGCCGUGGCCGGCGCGGCCUGGGACAUCGGAGUAGCGCGGAGGGCGCCAGCCCGUUAGGGAACACGAUCUUCUUUCCCGGACUAGGAAGGGGUGUGGAGGCGCGGUCGCGGGGCGCCUUACAGCACCAGCUUGUCGGGUCCCGGGUCCGAGGGAAAUCCCUAGGUGUCCCAGGCCCUGGACCGGAGCCGUGGCUGCUCUCCCGGGGCCCCUCAGGUGGCGUGGCGAGUCCCAACUCCAGUGCUCCGCGGGCGCCCCGCCCCGCUCCUCCCUGGUCCCGCCUUCCGCUCCGCCCGGGCGCCCCGAGGACAAACGGGGGGGGGCGGGAGGACGGAAUUUCCCAGAGCGGGGGCUCCGGCUUCCCCGCAACGCGGCAGUGCCUUUCUGUUUACGGAGUGAAAGGGGAAAUGGAAAAGGCGGGGAGGCGGCGGCUGGCGUCCGCUGCGCCGCCCCUCGGCCGGCUCAGACGCCGUGAGUCAGGGACCGACGAGGGCGGCCUGGGCUGGAGGCCCCACGCUCACUGGUGCACUCGGGUCGGGACGACGCGCCGCGCUCCGGGAUCGGUCUCCCUGUCUCCAGCUUCCGCUGCUGCCGGACCUCGCUGUCCCGGCGCGCUCGACUCUGGAGGGGGUGGGCCACUAAGGGCCCACCGAGCCGUCCGGGGGCCGCGGCUGCAGCGCUCCGCCCGCCAGGUAACCCUCCGUUCGCGGGCUUCUGGGUGUCUUUGUGAUCGCAGCCCUCCAGCGUGCCCCGACGGUCCCCACCCUGAAGCGCGGGCUCCCGGGGCAGAGGGGCGAACUCCCGGGCUCUGGGAGGUGGGGGCGUGUCCGCCUCCCGCGCUGCUGCGCUUCCGUGGUUCGCGCGCUUAG
rnacentral:lncRNA from 1 species